rnacentral:rRNA from 1 species
GAUGAACGCUAGCGGCAGGCCUAAUACAUGCAAGUCGAACGGUGUCUUCGGACAUAGUGGCGCACGGGUGCGUAACACGUACGCAACCUACCUUACAUUGGGGGAUAGCCUUUCGAAAGGGAGAUUAAUACCGCAUAAGACAGUAGCUGGGCAUCCAGCAGCUGUUAAAGAUUUAUCGAUGUAAGCUGGGCAUGCGUCCAACUAGCUAGUUGGUGAGGUAACGGCUCACCAAGGCAAUGAUUGGUAGGGGAACUGAGAGGUCAAUCCCCCACACUGGCACUGAGAUACGGGCCAGACUCCUACGGGAGGCAGCAGUAGGGAAUAUUGGGCAAUGGACGCAAGUCUGACCCAGCCAUGCCGCGUGCAGGAUGAAGGCGUUAUGCGUUGUAAACUGCUUUUAUACAGGAAGAAACGACUCUUGCGAGAGGCAUUGACGGUACUGUAUGAAUAAGCACCGGCUAACUCCGUGCCAGCCGCCGCCGUAAAAC